CAGUGUCCCAUGCGAGCCUGUACCGAGGAUCUGCACUGGGAAGGCCCAAAGGCCCGUGGUGGAAGCUAGAUAGUCUGUCCCAGUGGGAUGGAGGAGCUGUGCCAGCAGGUGGAGGGAUCUGCACUGGAGCCAGGAAGCGACGCUCAAGGUCUCUUUUUAUGCUGUUGGCAAUGACCCUCACUCAGGUGGGGCUUCCACACCCAGGGCCACACCGACUCGAUUCAGCUGGGGGUUAUGCGCUGACCGUUUGUUUAUCCACCACAUACGUCUCUAUCAUUUGCUAGCUGAGUGACUCCAGUGAUGUGGGGAACAACUCUGCUGGAAGGCUCUGGAGUCUUUCCUGCGGUCUCAGUCGUUGGUGGAGCAGCUGAGGACCAGCCAGAUGUCUCUCUCCUAUUGCUCCUUCAAGCCCUCUCAGAGAUUCUCCAGGUAGCCUCCUGACUUGAGGUAGUUGGGCUUCCUCACAGCAUGGUGGGCCCAGGACUGGGGGAUGGCUUCCUUGGGAACCAGAGGCUCCAGGGCAGGCCUUCUGUUGGACAAGCCAGAAGGACCCUCACCUUUUGCUAUCUAAUUUUGGGAUAUGCUUGCCCUGUUCGUUCUGGUUAUAAGCAAGUCACAGACAUUCAUAUUCAUCCUACCUGUCAAUGGGCGGAAUUCCAAGUCACAUUUAAAGAGUUAGUGGAAUGAGAGACCUUGUUUGGGGAAAAACUCUGACACACAUUCACUCACACUACCAAAAUAUCUAGCAUUUGAAAAUGCACCAUAAAGUCACAGAAGCUGGGAGCUGCUGUCCUAAAAUCAAAGCGCCUUUCCGCGGUGUCUUUCUGUGCCCCUCCUCUCCGUUUUAGCGCUGUCGUGGAUUCCUGCCCAGCAGGACUGCUCCGCUUUCCUGUCAUGGAUUCUGAUUUUCUCUGCAUGGGGAUAACGAUUUCCCUUUAAGAUGCUGUUCGAGCUGGGUGUGGGAUGUACAUCUGUCAUCCCAGCACUCGGGAGCGGGAGGCCAGAGGAUGGCCAAAAGUUGGAGGCCGCCUGGUCUACAUAGUGAGUUCAAGGCCAGGCUGAACUAUAUAGCGAGACCCUGUCUCAAGAAAACCAAACCAAACCAAACCAAAGAAAGUGAAGCAAAACAAAAUGCUGCUUGUUCUUAAUGUGGUGGAAUACAGACUUUGAAUGAAGAAAGCAGACAGCGGGAGAGCAAAGCCCCGGGCGAGCGGUGAACGCGGCAGGUGAAGGACGGUGGGAAGAGAGCGUGCAGUGGCAGGUGACGCGUGAGAACCCACAGCAGGACCCGGAAAACACGAAGAAGUCAAAACCAGGAGCCGAGGAAGGGUGAGGACACCCGCAGCAGUCCGCAGAUCGCCACAGCCUGUCGUCUCGGGAAGAGGGGAGCAGGAGGUCAGGGGGGGCUCUGGGGAUGCCCUCGGACCGUCACAAUUAUACGCACGAACGAAGAUCCACAGCACCCGCCAGAGCUGCAGGGGUGUGCGGCCAAAGAGACUUCCAGUGCAGUGACGUGAAACCUCCCAACGGAGGAGGCCGGGCGCAGUCCCCCGCACGGAGCAGAAUGGCUCUGAGAGCCGAGGCCGCGUGCUCAGGGCUGUAAGUUAUGGGCCUUCCUCCUGUGCUGGCCGCACCGUUCUUCUCAGUCUCCUGAGCCACCCCGCUCUUCCUCCCUUUUACAGUCAUGUGUCUGCUUUCACCCUCUUGUCCAAUUAGCAUUCAUUCUUCUGAUGAUCUUAUGUCUUUACCUAUAGCAAUUGUCACUGUCCCCUCUGUUGCACCUGGUGCUCUUUCUGGGGAUAUUUCAACCCAACACUUACCGAGAGCACACACACACACGUGCACACACACUCACUCGCACACAUGCACACACUCAUACACGCACACACGCACACUCACACAGCUUUGUUCCUUUUGGUCUUUAGAGAUGACGGUUUUCACGCGCACUGGUUAGGAGAUCUCUAGGAGCAGCAAAAUCUAGAGGCUGAGAACUCUGCUCCUGACGUUGGACAGACAGGACUCAAAGGUUUGGGAGAGCCGCUCUUGUCCUGCACCACAAGGGAUGGGAAAGCCUGCGUGUUUCAUGACGGCUGAUGGUUAAUUUCCCAGGGAAACCACUAGAUGGAGGCCAUGCCUAAGGAACAUAGGCGAAGGCACAGGCACUGGUCUCCAAGAUUCCUCUUCCAGGACAAAACAUGAGUGGGGACACCAGGAGAAAACCCAGUCUGUCCGAACAGGUCUGUGACUUGGUCCUGAGAGACGCACUUCCUUUCUAUCAGCUCCAGGGAUUCUCCAUUCUCUUCCUGUGGUAAAUAAGAAAGUUCCUUCAUCAGGGCUUGCUCCCCAGGUGAGUCACUCGGUGCCCGAGGCUCAUUACAUGCAGACAACUCCAGGAAUGUUUUGAUUUUCUCAGUGCAUUUUCUUCCUAAAUGCCAGGACAGCAAGUUGUCUUUAUUCUCCACUUCUUGUGAAGAAUUCUUUAUUUUUUUCCUUGAGAGGAAACUUUGCAAACACAGGUAACCCUCCCAGGAUGCAUUUAUAGCCAGAAAGGCCAGGACCAUAAACAGAUCUGAAGGUGGCCCUUUCUGGAGAGGAAAUUGAGUUUUUCUGACUCACACUGAUUAUUCCAUAGUGGAGACACCAGGGUUGGACCGUAGUUUUAUUGUGAAGAUUACUAGAGGCAAGUGUGCAUUUACUCUGCAAAUAAAACUCCAUUCAUAGAGACACACAGUAGAGGGAUUUAAUGAGCUGCAAGCUCGCACAUAUGUGGCAUUUCCAUCAAAUAAAUCUUCACACUUGGAGAUAUAUGGGCCAACUGGCAGUUCUCAGACAUUCCUUGUUUCCUUUGGUGUUUAAGAAGGCAACAGCUUUGCACUUGACAAAGAAUGCUUUGUGAUCCAGCUCAUGCAGAUGAAGAGCGGAGUGACACAUAUUACCCAGGGAAAGCACACACCCACCCUGCCCCACUGGUCAAGGGGACUGAAGGCCAAGGGCGGCAAAGGUUUCUCUCCCGGGUGCCUUCGGUCCUGGGGUGGGUCCCUACCUCUGUCUAGUUUUCUUCUACCUCUGUGCCUCUGGCGUCAGCAGCAGAGGACAUUUGUCAGCACAUCUGCUGGGCCCCCUGGUAGGCUGGAAGAGGACGAUGUUAUCCUUCCAACCCCGGCCCCUGGACCACAGACAGUCCUGCUGGGAUCGGUCAGGAUGGACGAAACUACACUCAGUAUUUGUAACAGGAAUUGAAUGCAGGUAAUCAGAACCCAGGGGACGGAAGAUCUGUGGAGCCUAAGAAAGCAGCCAGGCUACCCUGAGAUUUACAAAGGCAAGAAGCCAUUGCCGCCCCAGGCUGGGAGGGACCAAGGGAGUAGAUGGUGCUAUCUGAGCCCAGGGACUUGGAGCACCACGCAGAGAAGGAGCUUUAGAAAGCUCGAUGGCAGCCAUGGGGCCAUGGGAAGUUAUGUUCUUCUUCUGAGAUGGCACUCAGACAGAGCAGGAGGGACAGACGGGCUUUCCUCCUGGGGGCUUCCCAGUCUCCCAGUGGUACCUCCCUUGGCUGAACCUAGCAGAAGGCAGCUGCCCGGGGCAUGGAGAUAUUUUCUGCAAGGGCUGAGCCCUGGCACAGAGCAAAGGUGAGGAAGGGCAGACAGACUCAGGACAGGAGCGCAGGGGGCACUCCACCAGGUGAAGCAAGUCCAGUCAUCGCUCUUCCAGGAACUGGGAUUUGUUCUUGGAACAGGUGGGUGGGAGUGGGGUCUUUGUAGUUGGGGGAUCGUAUAGGGCUGGAGCUGUGGCUUCCUGUUACAUUUUUGCUCAAGGAUGGAAAAACACUAGAAGGGAGGGCUGGGUGCAGGACACACACACACACACACACACACACACACACACGCAUGCAUGUGUGCGUGCAGAAUGAGUUAGAUAAAAAGAAGAUAGAUACGGAGAUGGAGGAAGAGGAGGGCAAAGGAGGAAGGAAAAGAAUAAAGCAGAUGGGAGAGAGAAGAUGAAAUAAGGAACCAUGGCAUCCUGGAAGGAGAAACCUCAGUUCCCUAAUUCCAAGUCACGGCUUCUUCCUUCCUGAGAAAGGUCUGCGCUCCUUUAGUUGGCAUCUGUUCGAUAUCCCUGGAUUACUGGGCUGUUAAGUAGAUUUUGGGGACUUGGAAUUUUGAAGUCUUGAGCUACCUAUCCUCUUCGAUCUUCAUCCUCAGUGGCCUGGAGCCCCUCCCUUGAGCCAAACCUUUAGACUUUGCCUGUAAUGCUCUUUUCCCUUUCUCUCAUCCCCAGAUGAAAUAUUACUGCUUUACACCCCGAAGAGUGCUGGGCGUCGGUUCUAACAGAACCCAUGUUUGUUGUAACACUCAUUUCUGCUGCUGCAAAAGGAUGUGUGAGGCUGCAUUCUUGAAAAAUAGACAGGAUUUUUAGCCCCUGGACUACAUAGUUUGCAGACUCUGGCUUGGAGAUGAUCAUUUCCUUCUUUACAUAGCUUUUAUUUCUUUACCCUCAGAAAAGUGGUGAGCCACUCUGUGAUGAGGAAACGUGUGCCUGCUUUAGCACACAGAUGCAAGCUGCUGGGGAACGGCCUCAGAGAUAGACAGGGCUGUUCACCAGCUCCUGCAUCGAGGGAGGGUUUCGCCUUGGAGGAGGCAACACUCCGUAGCUGACGGCAGCUGUCCUCUACAUGGCCAUCAGGCUAUACAGCCCAGGAAGGAAGUCUCAUGGAGAGUGCAGUCCGGAGAUAAAGCCAGAGUUCAGGCUCCAUCAAGGACUAGAUGCUCUCGAGUGGAAUUUAGGAGUACGUUGGCAUAGAGGUUUCUUACCAGAGCACCUAACUUUACUUAGGUGUACACUUAUAUUCUGUUCCAGAGCAGGAAAAAAAGACCUACAAUUCUGUAGCAUCUGAAUUUGGCGAUGCAUUUAAAAUAGCCAUCGAGUUUCAGACAAGGUGAUAGGAA